rnacentral:rRNA from 1 species
UACGUAGGGCGCAAGCGUUAUCCGGAAUUAUUGGGCGUAAAGAGCUCGUAGGCGGUUUGUCGCGUCUGCCGUGAAAACUGGAGGCUCAACCUCCAGCCUGCAGUGGGUACGGGCAGACUAGAGUGCGGUAGGGGAGAUUGGAAUUCCUGGUGUAGCGGUGGAAUGCGCAGAUAUCAGGAGGAACACCGAUGGCGAAGGCAGAUCUCUGGGCCGUAACUGACGCUGAGGAGCGAAAGCAUGGGGAGCGAACAGG